GCCCAGGUGGUGAAACCGGUAUACACACAGCACUUAAAAUGCUGCGCCGUAAGGCUUGCGGGUUCGAGUCCCGCCCUGGGCACCA
rnacentral:tRNA from 1 species